AUUUAGUCAAUAGAUUGUAGAGUUCCUCCAUUAAUGAUACUCCAUAUGCAGUGCUAUAUGAGAGAAAACCACCUCUAGCACAUUUAAGGUAAUUAGAAGAAAGGGGCAACCAAAGGCUAGAAAGCUCAGGAUUGUGGGCUAUGAGCCAGGCUCAAAGAGUUAUCGCUUCAGCGAUGGGAGCAAAAGAAUAGUAUUUUCAAGGUCUGCAAGCUUUGCAGAGCAAAAUUGGAACAGAAUUGAUGCAAAUUUAUGGAAUGAUUCACUUAGUGACGAAGAUCCACUUAGUGAUGGUAACUCACUUAGUGACAGUAACUCACUUAGUGAUGGUGUCAGGGUUCAGGGAGGAGAAGCUGAACAAGAUAUAAAGCAAGAGAAGGUUGACACACAGGAGCAGUCAGUGCCAUCCAGGUCAGAGCGAUGGAACAAAGGGAUUCCACCUGACAGGUAUUCUGCUAGUGAAGUAAAGGUGUGGUAUGUGUGGUAUGAGCCAAAGAACUAUAAGAAAGUAUUGGCAUUACCUAAAAUUGAACAAGUAAAGU